rnacentral:lncRNA from 1 species
UUUACAUGGUAUUCACACACGCAUAAAAGAAGAGAUCAAAGAACGCUGAUUGGUUGAAUAAAACAUCAGUUCUUGAUCACUAACUAAUGAAUAUCAUUUCUGAUGAUCAGGUUGGUAUCCAUGCCGCCUCCAGUACAGCGCGCGAAAAAUUGAAAACAAUUAUCAGAGUAUAAGAGCACAAGAGCAGAAUAUCAUUCUUAUUACAGAAGUAAGUGUUUAACACUAUUUACUACCACGAGAAUUUUAUAUACAUAUGUAAAAAAUGAAGGAGAUCUGAGAACGUCGUCAUUCACAUUGUAAGAAAUUGUUAAGUGAGUAAAAAGAAAGAAACGUGUACAUUAAUAUAUGGAAAUGCAACAGUUGUAUACAUAUUGUAGUAAAAGGAACAUUUCUAUGCGCAGGCUAUUCCACGCAGCUGGAACAAUCUAUAAUGUUAAAAUGAUCUAUAAUGUUAUAAUGUUAAAUGUUAAAAGGAAAAUAGAAAACAAUUUCAUUAAGAAAAAUUACACACAUGCACUACAUGAUUCAUCAUUGGAAACCAUUUAAUUUUUUUUAAUGAAAUGUUUUUCUAUUUGCUGCCGUUUUAACGCUAUGGCUUGUUCCAGUUGUAUCGAACACCUUGUAUACACACAUAUGUUACAUAAUAUAUUAUUGUUCAAAAGUACAUGGCUCGAAUGUAAUUUAUUUGCAAAACUACAAGAAUGAUGUUAUCUUUAUUAGAGCUAUUGUAUAAUAUUAUGAUACGACAAAAUAUAUUUAUAAAAAUUAAUAUCAGUAGGUAUCAAAUAUUAUACGGCUGUUUUGAUUGUCAAACUACAGAAAAGCUGGAGAUAAAGAAGAAUUGAUCGUGACAGAACUUUCAAAAAAUCAAGAACGGUACAAAAUCGCAGAGUAUGGCAUGCACAUUGUAAACACGAUUUUCUCGGUACCGCGUUCUCUGAGAUGGCCAACACGACAUAAAUUAUACUUGACCGAUAAACUUUAAAAGCAUACAUUACCAAGCGUAUCACAUUAAUUAGAAUAAUCAACAGAUCGUUUGUUUCAUUCCUUUCUUAUCUGCGAAAGAUUAUCUCGCUGGAUGACUAAGUGAUUUAAGCAAUGCGUAUCGAGUUCAGAAUUUAUACAAGGUCGUUGAUGAAAUACGGUAUCAUUUCCUGUUAACGAAUCAAUUAAUAUCUUCGAUUAAAAAAGCUUUAAAAAAUAUCACUCCACGUCGGAAUUUACUGUAAAAGGUGGGAAAUACGUUCUUUGUAUCACAUUCCACUCCAAUAAUUAAAUAAUAUGGCGUACACGGUUUAUGGGCAAUAUUUUGAUAAAAUUAAAAAGAUUUGAUAAAAUUAAAAGAUCUUUUUUCUUAAUAUCUGAAAAUAUAUUGGGAUCAUACAUUAUAGAGCAUUUACUUCCCCAACAAACACAAUAACUUAAUAUUAUACACUAUAUAUAAACUUAAUAUUUAUCAAGAUAUAAUACACAAGCCACGAUAAAGAGAUCGAAAAGUGUUUGUUGGUAAUAUUUAAUGAGCCGACAUAAAUAUUCGAAGUUGGACGCGGAAAUUGUAGCUUAAACCGUUUCUUUUUCAGCAUGCAACUUAAUAUUAACAAGAUUAAUUUCAACUUAAUAUCAACAGUUAAAUGUUACAAAUAUAGAAAAGUUACCUGUAGCUUAUAAUAAUGCAAUCGAUAGUGUUUUAUCAGGAAUGAAUUAUUAAUUAAAAAGAAUUGUUAUAUGUAUAUGUCCUCUUGCCCUGAUUCAAAUAAUGUUGUAUUCGAUGAAUUUGCGUUGAACACACAAAAAUUAGGCUUACUUUUACGCCUUUCCCGCCUUUUAAAUUCCGACUUGCCACACCAUUCGCAUCAAAUAUAUGAACAGUGUUUUAUCCAUGUACAAAUGAAUAAUUUUAACUCACUUAAACUUAUCACCACCGGUAAAAUUAACCGUGUUCAAAAUUUUGUGUACAAUUUCCUGUAUGUAACGUUAUCACAUCGCUGUUUAUUUCGACGAUCUUUCUUAAAACAUGUAUACAAUAAAUUUUUCAGUAUUUA